GCCUGGGUGGCUGAGUUGAUUAAGCGUCUGCCUUCGGCUCAGGUCAUGAUCCCAGGGUCAUGGGAUCGAGCCCCAUAUCGGGCU
rnacentral:tRNA from 1 species